GACGAACGCUGGCGGCGUGCCUAACACAUGCAAGUCGAGCGAUGAAACCCUUCGGGGUAGAUUAGCGGCGAACGAGUGAGUAACACGUGGGUAACCUGCCUCAAAGAGGGGAAUACCCUCCCGAAAGGGAGAUUAAUACCGCAUAAUAUGUUUUGAUCGCAUGAUCUUGACAUCAAAGGAGUAAUCCGCUUUGAGAUGGACCCGCGGCGCAUUAGCUAGUUGGUGAGGUAACGGCUCACCAAAACGACGAUGCGUAGCCGACCUGAAAAGAUGAUCGGCCACAUUGGAACUGAGACACGGUCCACACUCCUACGGGAGGCAGCAGUGGGGAAUAUUGCGCAAUGAAGGAAACCCUGACGCAGCACCGCCGCGUGAAUGAUGAAGGCCUUCGGGUUGUAAAGUUCUGUCUUCUAGGACGAUAAUGACGGUACCAGAGGAGGAAGCCACGGCUAACUACGUGCCAGCAGCCGCGGUAAUACGUAGGUGGCAAGCGUUGUCCG
rnacentral:rRNA from 1 species